GACGAAGAUCUGGAAUAGAGCUCGCCUCGGCUCUGCUGGCCUUGGCUGCAGCUCUUCCAGAAACCCGGGGCGCCCACAGAAGAAUCUCUUACCUGGCUCUGUCUUCAGGGAUGACAUCAUCGGCUCACGCCAGUCUUCCAGGACCACCUUCUGGAUGCCAAGGCUGCUGCUCGAGUACCUGCUGUGCACCUCUACCUCCUGGUACCCCAGCCACGCCCUCAAGUUGCCUGCAUGUUUAUGGCCUAGCCAAGGAGCAUGGAUUCCAGGAACCCACUACCAUACAGAGCAACUCCUUGUGGACUCCCCCUGGGAUCAGGACAGCGAGGGACAAGCGACAAAGAGGAUCAUCAGUGGCCAGCUAGUCUCUCUGGGGUUCAAACCUUGAACCAGUGCCCUAGUGAGGGGGCACUGGCCAUGGCCCUUGACCUUUGCUCUGCUUGUGUCUUGAGUCUGAGUCCUUUCCUGUACAUCUGUGCUUGUGUUCAUCUGCUAGUGAACUGGAGUGCUGCCCUCCCCGAGGAGGGUCGUCCCUUGUGACUGAUCAUGCUGUCCUAACAAUGUCCUGAGCAAAAGGGUCCCUUUGGGAACCUCUCAGGAGGGGGACCCGGGUCAGGGGCGACCAGCAUCUUGCUGGCAACUCCGUGGGUGGGGUGGGGUGGGGUGCUUCCUUCUGGAAUGAGCACGUGGCUGACCCCCAAAGGCAUGUCCCCUCCCCCUCCUCCACCCACCUUCUCGGAGAUGUCCCUUUUGGGGUAGUGGGGACAUUAGGAGCAACCUCCUAGGGUUGUUGUGAGAAUUAAAUGAACUGCAGCAGCCUGAGGCAGGGCUGGGCAGAGACCUCAGCACAUGUUUGUUGAAAGGUUUGCAGGUGGAUCUAGUCCUCCCGUUCAUGGCUCAUGUGUCUCAACCAUUCUCUCGCAGACUCCUGCAGCCCCUAUGCCCAGGGCUCUCCUUGCGCCAGAGGUAGGUGGGAAAGAGAACUGGGAGAGCCCGGACUCACUCAUGAGAUUGAACUUAAAUUCACACGGAGGACACUUGGACUCUUGCCACAUUGGCCCCGGCUUCUCGAGGCCUGUCUACACUCGCUGCUUUCCUUCCUCACCUCCAAUUUCCCCUCCAACCCACUGCUUCCUGACUCGCUCUUCUCCAUCGAACGGCUCUCGCUCAGGUUUAAGGCUUGGCUUGCUGGCCCUGGAGAUCCCGUCGCCGUCUUCGUCGAACUCGAACUCCUAGCCAUCGUCCUUCCCUGGCCUGUCGCGUCUUCCUGUGCCAUUUGCUGUUGUGCUCAGGUUCCACGAGCUGCCCAUCUCCACAGAAGAGCAGCUGGCAUUGCCCACUGGCCAUGCCGGCUGAAGAAAAGAAGACUGAGGACCCCAGGACGCCCAGCGCGAGGACCCCAGGAAGCCCAGCGCGAGGACUCCACCCACGACGCCCAGCGCGAGGACUUCACGCACAACACGUUGCAACUCUCCUGGAUUAGGCCAAAGCCAUCAUCUGGAAUCCUGCGUGGGACCCUGGACACACGGACACAAACACCUGCCCCCCAGGACCCUCCAACUGUAAAUCCCUCCACAGCCACGGGGACGCCUUGCACAUUUCCUGUGGGACAUGCUGGACCCAAGACUCUGGACCCUGGCCUCCCCUUGAGUAGAGAGACCCACCUACUGACUGAUGAACUGCACUGACCCUGGGGUCAGGCAUGUGGCCUUGAUCCCUACCCAUGGACCCUGAGACUUGGGGGGCUGGGAGAAAGGCUGUUGAGUCUUCACUGUUGAGUCUACAUCUGUGAAAUGGGCUCAGGUUCCUACCUCACAGGGCUGUUGUGAGGCAGCCUCGAUGUGCUUAGAAGCAUGGGGCCUGGUGGCUCAUGGUGCUUUCAAUAAAUUUCUUGUUUUAA
rnacentral:lncRNA from 1 species